GGGCGCGUGGUGUAGUUUGGUCUAACACAUCUCCCUGUCACGGAGAAGAUCGUCCCGAUUCAAUCGGGAUCCGUCCCGCCA
rnacentral:tRNA from 1 species